CAGGGAAUCUUGGGCAAUGGGCGAAAGCCUGACCCAGCGACGCCGCGUGGAGGAAGAAGUCCUUCGGGGCGUAAACUCCUGGACUGGGGGACGAGUAAGGACGGUACCCCAGUAGAAAGGGACGGCUAACUACGUGCCAGCAGCCGCGGUAAAACGUAGGUCCCGAGCGUUGUUCGGAUUCACUGGGUGUAAAGGGCGCGUAGGUGGUUGUCUGUGUCUCAUGUGAAAACUCAGGGCUCAACUCUGAGAUUGCGUGGGAAACUAGGCAGCUAGAGGACGGUAGAGGGGAGUGGAAUUCCCGGUGUAGCGGUAAAAUGCGUAGAUAUCGGGAGGAACACCGGUGGCGAAGGCGGCUCUCUGGGCCGAUCCUGACGCUGAGGCGCGAAAGCUAGGGGAGCGAACC
rnacentral:rRNA from 1 species